rnacentral:rRNA from 1 species
UACAGAGGUCCCGAGCGUUGUUCGGAUUCACUGGGCGUAAAGGGUGCGCAGGUGGGUUUGCAAGUUCGAUGUGAAAGCCCCGGGCUUAACCGGGAAUGGCAUUGGAUACUGCAGAUCUGGAGGAUCGGAGGGGGGGACUGGAAUUCUUGGUGUAGCAGUGAAAUGCGUAGAUAUCAAGAGGAACACCAGUGGCGAAGGCGAGUCCCUGGACGAUACCUGACACUGAGGCACGAAAGCUAGGGGAGCAAACAGG